CAAAGCAAAACAUGCCAAGUCCCCGUGGAGGGUCUCCAGGGAGAGCCCUGAGGCUUUAGUGAUCACAGUUAUGAAACAUUUUGACUUCGGCCAGCUUCAGUCCUGUUGGGAGAGAGACUCAAGCCUGGGUCCCUGAUGGUGAUGAUAAGGUGGUCCCCAGGGCCCUGACUGCUGGAACCUUAGAAUUGGAAUCAGUAGAAAUACUUACACCACAGAAAUUGGCAAAUGCCAUGAAGAGUGGCCUUUGUUUCUUCCCCCACCCCCACCCCAUAGAAAGGGUUU